rnacentral:rRNA from 1 species
UAGUCCACGCCGUAAACGAUGAUAACUAGCUGUCCGAACCCACAGGGUUUGGGUGGCGCAGCUAACGCAUUAAGUUAUCCGCCUGGGGAGUACGGUCGCAAGAUUAAAACUCAAAGGAAUUGACGGGGGCCUGCACAAGCGGUGGAGCAUGUGGUUUAAUUCGACGCAACGCGCAGAACCUUACCAGCUUUUGACAUCCUGGUCGCGGAUUUGGGAGACCAUUUCCUUCAGUUCGGCUGGACCAGUGACAGGUGCUGCAUGGCUGUCGUCAGCUCGUGUCGUGAGAUGUUGGGUUAAGUCCCGCAACGAGCGCAACCCUUGUCUUUAGUUGCCAUCAUUUAGUUGGGCACUCUAGAGAAACUGCCGGUGACAAACCGGAGGAAGGUAAGGAUGACGUCAAGUCAGCAUGCCCCUUACGCUCUGGGCUACACACGUGCUACAAUGGUCGUGACAAAGAGUUGCUAGUCUGCGAAGGCAAGCCAAUCUCAUAAACGCGGCCUU